AUUGAACGCUGGCGGCAUGCCUAACACAUGCAAGUCGAACGGUAGAAGGGAGCUUGCUCCUGACGUCAGCGGCAGGCGGGAGUAUAAUGCCUAGGAAUGUGCCGGGGAGGGGGGGAUAUAGUCCGGAAAGGGGCUCUAAUACCGCAUGCGUCCUGAGGGAGAACGGGGGGGCUCAUGGGACCUCACGCUAUCAGAUGACCCUAUGUCGGAUUAGCUAGUUGGUGGGGUAAAGGCCCACCAAGACGACGAUCCGUAACUGGUCUGAGAGGAUGAUCAGUCACACUGGAACUGAGACACGGUCCAGACUCCUACGGGAGGCAGCAGUGGGGAAUAUUGGACAAUGGGCGCAAGCCUGAUCCAGCCAUGCCGCGUGUGUGAAGAAGGUCUUCGGAUUGUAAAGUGCUUUUAUUUGGGAGGAAGGGCAGUAAGUUAAUACCUUGCUGUAUUGACGUUACCAUAAGAAUAAGCACCGGCUAACUACGUG
rnacentral:rRNA from 1 species